rnacentral:rRNA from 1 species
GCCCCGUUCGUGCUGAUGACGGCCAUGGCGGUGCCCAAGGUGAGGCCGAGUCGGUGGGCGUUGCAGGUGAAGGGUAAGAAAGACUGGAGGCUCUUCUUCAACACUCUGUUCUGGAACCUCAACUACUGGGACUGCGCCAGCACGAUGGCCGGCGAGGUGGAGCGGCCCGAGCAGACGUUCCCGCGGGCACUGGCAGUCGCCGUUGUUCUGAUCGCCCGCAGUUACCUGCUGCCGCUUAUGGCCGCGACCGGCGCCACCGACGCGUCGCCGGAUGCCUGGGUCAACGGCUACUUGGCUGACGCGGCAGGCAUCAUCGGGGGCACAUGGCUCAAAUACUGGACGGGAGCCGGCGCAGUGAUCUCCUCCAUCGGCAUGUUCGAAGCUCAGAUGAGCAGCGGUGCGUUCCAGCUCCUCGGCAUGGCGGACAUGGGCCUCCUCCCGGCUUUCUUCUCCCGCACCGGCACCCCGUGGGUGGCUAUCACCUUGUCGACCGUCGUCACGAUCGUUGUCUCCUUCCUCUGCUUCGAAGACGUUGUCGCCACGGCCAACUUCUUGUACAGCCUCGGCACAUUGCUCGAGUUCGCAUCCUUCCUCUGGCUCCGCGCCAAGCACCCAGCGAUGAAGCGCCCUUACCGUGUGCCGCUACCGUUGCCCGCGCUUGUGGCAAUGUGUGCCAUGCCAUCCGCGUUCCUGGCCUACGUGUGUGUGGUGGCUGGGUGGAAGGUAUUCGCCCUCGCCGCGGGGCUGACUAUGCUCGGCGUCGGAUGGCAUGGCGUCAUGAGGGUGUGCAAGGCCAAGAAGUUGCUCAGGUUCAACAAUACAGUUUCUGCUGACCUUCAACAGGAUACUACUGGAGACGACUAUCAUCUGGUUCCGGGGGUGAGAAACUAUCGUAGCUUAAAAGUGGCCAUGCCUCAUGUUUUUCGACAACUGAGUUGA